rnacentral:rRNA from 1 species
GACGAACGCUGGCGGCGUGCUUAACACAUGCAAGUCGAACGCUGAACCCGCUUCGGUGGGGGAUGAGUGGCGAACGGGUGAGUAACACGUGGGCAACCUGCCCCCGGCUCUGGGAUAACUCCAAGAAAUUGGGGCUAAUACCGGAUGUGACCGCUGGCCGCAUGGUCUGGUGGUGGAAAGGGUUUCCGGCUGGGGAUGGGCCCGCGGCCUAUCAGCUUGUUGGUGGGGUAGUGGCCUACCAAGGCGACGACGGGUAGCCGGCCUGAGAGGGGGACCGGCCACACUGGGACUGAGACACGGCCCAGACUCGUACGGGAGGCAGCAGUGGGGAAGAUUGCGCAAGGGGCGGAAGCCUGACGUAGCGACGCCGCGUGGGGGAAGACGGCCUUCGGGUUGUAAUCCUCUUUCAGCAGGGACGAAGAGCUAGUGACGGUACCUGCAGAAGAAGCACCGGCCAACUACGUG